GCCAGGUUCAGGCUCCUCUUUCUGCUGACUGUGUAUCCAGAUGGAAAACCGCUCGGCUACCGUGUCUGCCUGUGAGCUGUCUUCACGCUCCUGCCACGAAGGUAGUGAACUUCUGGAACUCAGGAGGCCCAGGAUCAGCAGGUGACAGCUCCCACAGAAGAUUCAGCAGCCAUUUUAGGGGCCAAGGUAAUGAGUGGUUGUAGAUGUGGCUGUGGUCAAAGCCACUGGGCUUGUGGACAUAAAGCCAAAGACAAGGAGUGGAUCCCUGUCACCAAGCUGGGCUGCCUGGACAUGAUCAAGUCCUUGGAGGAGAUCUACCUGUUCUCCCUGCCCAUUAUGGAAUCUGAUAUUAUUGACUUUUUCCUGGAUUCAUCUAAAGGAUGAGGUUCUGAAGGUCCUGCCAGUGCAGCUGGACAAAGGACCAGAUUCAAGACUUUUAUCAAUAUGGGGACUACAGUGGUCACGUUGGCCUUGAUGUUAAGUGCCCCAAGCAGGAAGCCACCGCCAUCCGAAGGGCCAUCAUCUGGGCCAAGCUUUCCAUGGUCCCUGUGCAGGCAGGCUACUGAGGGAACAAGACUGGCAAGUCCCACACUGUGCCAUGCAAGGUGACAGGCCACUGUGGCUCUGUGCUGGUGCAUCUCAUCCCUGCACCCAGAGGCACUGGCAUUGUCUCUGCUCCUAUGCCCAAGAAGCUGAUGCUGCUGGCCGGUAUAGAUGACUGCUACACUUCAGCCAGAGGCUACACUGCCAACCUGAGCAACUUGGCCGAGGCCAGCAUUGGUGCCACCUCCAAGACCUACAGCUACCUGACCCCUGACCUCUGGAAAGAGAUUGUUCAGGUCUCCUUAUCAGGAAUUCACUGACCAUCUUGUGAAAACCCACACUAGCCUGCUCAGUGGAGCCAGGGUUUGACUGUGGCUACCAUAUAAGGGUUUUUAUACACGAAAAAUAAAUGAAUUAAGUCUGGUUUUAAAAAAAAAUGGCGGAACUGCCUUGAAUCCCAGCAUUCUGGAAGCAGAGGCAGGCAGAUCUCUAAGUUUAAGACCAUCCUUGUCUACAGAGCAAGAUCCAGGACAACCAGUGCUACAUAGAGAAGCCCUGCCUAACACCCCCAACCCCAAAAUAAACGACUCAGCUGGUUAUAACAAUAAAGGAAAAGAGACCAUGAACUUGAGAAGUCGUGGUAGAGGGCUAUGCCAGGUACUAGAAUGGGGGAGCAGUUAGAUGGAAAAUGAGGUAAUACUUUUAGAUUUUACAUUGUGUCUCCAAAUGCUUUAGCUGUAUACGUGUAUGUGUACCACAUAUGAACCUGUUGGGUCCUUGAAACUGGUUAUUAGUAAUUAUAAGCUACCAUGUGGGUACUGGGAAUCAAAUCUGGUUCCUCUGAAAGAAGUGCUCUUAACAACUGAGUCCUCUCUCCAGCCCCUUCAAUGAUUUCAAAAAGAAAAAAAGAAUUGGUAGACAGCUCCUGAAGAACAUCACUGAGUCUGACCUUACACACACACACACACACACACACACACACGCGCGCGCGCGCGCGCGCACACAGAUCCCCGGUCACUUUGGGUUUGAUUUUCUGUACCACAAGCUUGAAGCAGAGGCAUCUCAGUAGAGGGCGCAGACAGAAACCAGACCACUCUCCAUUCCUCCUGUUUCCUGUUGACAGAUCCUGCAGGUAAAGACGUCCUUAAGGGUGGUUCCUGAUGACAGGGAGCAGGGCAGGGCCAAGAUGUGUCAGUGUUUAUGAGCCAUCAACAAGGAUCACUGAGAACUGACUGAAUCCUCCUUGAGAACAGUGUGUGCUUUAACCACUGAACCACUUCUCUGGUCCCUAGUUCGGGCUUUUUGAGGGAGAAGCUCCAAGUGAGGUCUGGGUAAUCUUUGAAUGGUCCUCCAGCCUCAGUCUCUUAAGUUGCUCCAUUGGCGGGGGUGAGGCCCUGUGCCUGGCUUCCUGCUUUAGAUGAGUGUUGCUGGUGUUGGGAAUCCCUUGUCUGCCUCACCUGGCUUCCAGUAAGCAGGCCAUUCACAGACAAUAGACCCAGCCCUCAAUGGAGACUGGUUGCUUUGUUCAACCUCUCACUGUGCUGCAGCCUUGUCAGGGCUCGUCUGUAGAAACAGCUUCCAACUGCGCCUCCACAUACCUAACCCAGUGACUGACUCAUUGUUGAUGGCAGUGGGGUGUACUCAUUAUGACUUGAAUGUUUGAGUCUAAGCAGCCGAGAUGAAGGCUCACCAAGUUUUGGGAGAACCCCCAGUCAUUUGGAUGGCUAAGAUCUGACUUCUAUAGAACGUACCUCAGAGAGCCACGGGCAUUCCCCACACAGUGUAAGGUAGUUAGUGAUCUUCCUUGAAACAAUCCUGGCUCAGAGCUGUCUGAGGGAAGUUGUGGAGCCAGGCUUAGACAUGCUAGAGCUGCUUAGCCACUUUCUGCUGAGUCAAGCUCUCUGCUAGAUUCUCUAGCCCCACCCAUCCCACAGACCUGGAAUUCCAAGUAGUCCUAAAAUGGAAACAGGAAGGUCAUAAACUCAAGGCCAGUGUGAACUUUGUAGACAUAUAUUAUCAAGAAGAGAAGAGAAGAGGAGAGGAGAGGAGAGGAGAGG
ensembl:lncRNA